rnacentral:rRNA from 1 species
UACGGAGGGGGCUAGCGUUGUUCGGAAUUACUGGGCGUAAAGCGCACGUAGGCGGCUUUGUAAGUUAGAGGUGAAAGCCCAGGGCUUAACCCUGGAAUUGCCUUUAAGACUGCAUCGCUAGAAUCGUGGAGAGGUAAGUGGAAUUCCAAGUGUAGAGGUGAAAUUCGUAGAUAUUCGGAAGAACACCAGUGGCGAAGGCGACUUACUGGACACGUAUUGACGCUGAGGUGCGAAAGCGUGGGGAGCAAACAGG